rnacentral:rRNA from 1 species
CAAUAGCGUAUAUUAAAGUUGUUGCGGUUAAAAAGCUCGUAGUUGGAUUUCUGCUGAGAACGACCGGUCCGCCCUUUGGGUGUGUAUCUGGCUCUUUCUUGGCAUCUUCUUGGUGAACGUUGCUGCACUUGACUGUGUGGAGCGCUACCCAGGACUUUUACUUUGAGGAAAUUAGAGUGUUUCAAGCAGGCAUACGCCUUGAAUACAUUAGCAUGGAAUAAUAAGAUAGGACCUCGGUUCUAUUUUGUUGGUUUCUAGAGCUGAGGUAAUGAUUAAUAGGGAUAGUCGGGGGCAUUCGUAUUUAACUGUCAGAGGUGAAAUUCUUGGAUUUGUUAAAGACGGACUACUGUGAAAGCAUUUGCCAAGGAUGUUUUCAUUGA